GGGAAAUAUAACAAAACGCGCCUCGCGCCUUAAACUGAACUCAGAUCAGCGCUUGCACAGCAGUCUGAUAGGACCGAUCUCCGAAUUGAUACACGUUAUAAAACCACAACCUGUGAGUAAAGUUGUAAAAAAACAAUUUCGUUUGAUAGCAAAAAUAUCUACAACAAUGUAUUUUUGAGGUGAUUCCUUACUGACAGGAAAGUUCAUCUGACAGAAAUAGGUUUAAGUUAAUCAGCUAACUUAUUUUUAACAAAUACAUUUCCUUUAUUAAAAAGGAAAGUCUAUAAAUAUUUUGAUGCUUUCAUUUAUGUUAUUAUUUUAUACUCUGCAAGAUACUGUUGUAUAAUUACUUUUGCUUUACUUCAAUACAGAGAGACUUGGGUAAAAAAAGGCAGAGUACCAGUCAGUGGUUAAAGACACACAAAAUGUGGACAUCAAAACAAAUGGCUACAUUUGCUCGUGAGGAAGAUGAUAACGAAGAGGAUGAGACUCCUUCAAACCAUAAGAUAGUGGAUGAUUCACACUCAACUGCAAAGCAAUGAAAGAACACAUCUGUCACUAAAUUGAACCCAGUCACCUUGGAUUAUGCCCCAAAGUGUGAGAAUUACAAGAAACUCACCAGAACUGUGAUGGACUCCAUUUCCACCUUAGAAAAAAUGACAACAUGCUCCGUCACAGGGAAAAAAGGGACCACUGGUGAACAAAGACAGAGUCCUGACAGAGAAAGUGAAGCUAGUAAUAGGGAGCCUGCUGGAAGAGAAUCUGAGGACUGAUGCACAUAUAACAAUGGACAUGCAUAAAGACACAUCUCUCUCUCUCUCUCUCUCUCUCUCUCUCUCUCUCUCUCUCUCUCUCUCUCUCUCCCACAUACACACACACUCAGAUAUACAGUUGUUGUUGUAUGGACAGAAUUUUAUUGAUACUUGUUUUUUUAUGAAUAUGUUUGGAUACUUCUUAUAAUUUUCUGUAUGUUUGCAAAUAAAUUCUCCAUUUGAAUCAGUUUUUCCUUACAGUAAAAUGUGUCUUAUGUCAAAGUCACAUCAUGGUGCCUUUAUUUUAUAUCACUGACAUCUUAGCUAGAUUAUAGCUUACCCUUGGGGUCAAAGGGUGAGUUUGAGUCCUGGGUUAUGAUAAGCAAUUGUAUGGCCUACUUUAUAUACUUUAACUCUCAAGUUCACAUGUAAAAACAAAUGAGA